rnacentral:rRNA from 1 species
AACGAACGCUGGCGGCAGGCUUAACACAUGCAAGUCGAACGCCCCGCAAGGGGAGUGGCAGACGGGUGAGUAACGCGUGGGAAUCUACCCAUCCCUACGGAAUAACGCAUGGAAACGUGUGCUAAUACCGUAUACGCCCUACGGGGGAAAGAUUUAUCGGGGAUGGAUGAGCCCGCGUUGGAUUAGCUAGUUGGUGGGGUAAAGGCCUACCAAGGCGACGACCCAUAGCUGGUCUGAGAGGAUGAUCAGCCACAUUGGGACUGAGACACGGCCCAAACUCCUACGGGAGGCAGCAGUGGGGAAUAUUGGACAAUGGGCGCAAGCCUGAUCCAGCCAUGCCGCGUGAGUGAUGAAGGCCUUAGGGUUGUAAAGCUCUUUCACCGGAGAAGAUAAUGACGGUAUCCGGAGAAGAAGCCCCGGCUAACUUCGUG